GAGUUUGAUCGUGGCUCAGAUUGAACGCUGGCGGCAGGCCUAACACAUGCAAGUCGAGCGGUAGAGAGAAGCCUGCUUCUCUUGAGAGGCGGCGGGCGGGUGAGUAAUGCCUAGGAAUCUGCCUGGUAGUGGGGGAUAACGCUCGGAAACGGACGCUAAUACCGCAUACGUCCUACGGGAGAAAGCAGGGGACCUUCGGGCCUUGCGCUAUCAGAUGAGCCUAGGUCGGAUUAGCUAGUUGGUGAGGUAAUGGCUCACCAAGGCGACGAUCCGUAACUGGUCUGAGAGGAUGAUCAGUCACACUGGAACUGAGACACGGUCCAGACUCCUACGGGAGGCAGCAGUGGGGAAUAUUGGACAAUGGGCGAAAGCCUGAUCCAGCCAUGCUGCGUGUGUGAAGAAGGUCUUCGGAUUGUAAAGCACUUUAAGUUGGGAGGAAGGGCAGUAAAUUAAUACUUUGCUGUUUUGACGUUACCGACAGAAUAAGCACCGGCUAACUCUGUGCCAG
rnacentral:rRNA from 1 species